GGUCUACUCUAUGGGUCUACUGUAUGGGGUCUACUGUAUGGGGUCUACUCUAUGGGGUCUACUGUAUGAGGUCUACUGUAUGGGGUCUACUAUAAGGGGUCUACUGUAUGGGGUCUACUGUAUGAGGUCUACUGUAUGGGGUCUACUGUAUGGGGUCUACUGUAUGAGGUCUACUGUAUGGGGUCUACUGUAUGGGGUCUACUGUAUGAGGUCUACUGUAUGGGACCUUUGAGGAGAGAGACAGAGGCAGCACCUGCUGUGGAGCAGCAGUGAGUCUCUCCUGAGAACAUGAGAUGAAUGAUAAUAAUCUGCAUUAACUUUCUUGCUAAAUACAGAUGACAAACACGUAGAGCUUCUUGUACGACAGAUAGACUUCAGAACAUGUUUAUGAAACAGGCUAUUCAGCAAGGCAAAGCUAGCCAUGGUUCAUUGGACAACUACAAGACUUUGCCCAAAUUACAUGGCACAAGCCAGGCCGGUUGCCAGGCGGGCAGCUGGCAUCAGCUGCGUCAUUGUCUUUGAUCGCGGCGAGAGGAGAAGGCUCAUUCUUCUACGUCCUCUCAGCCUUCAGCUCACACGUCCGCGUCGACACCGCCAAGGAAAGAAAGUGGGGCACAAACAAGGGGGACAGUUUGGCUGGAAACGGCCGCGCCACGUCCAUCGGCUCAUGAGACGAGGGACUUCCUGAGGGGACGAUUCCGGCCACACUAUGACGUCAUGUGCACACCACCUUUUAUAAUUCCACCAUGUUUCAUGCUAACGCUAGACCCGAUCCAGGGGGGCCACGUGUCACUCAAAUGAGACAAUAACAUCACACCCGGACGUAUUAAAGUGUCAAUAUGUCACACAGACACACCUCUCGUGCUCAGUGUGACGCAUUCAUGAGGAGGUUCUUUCCAGGGAACUGAUAACAUCAAAUAAUAACAGUCCAGGAGACACAAGCCGACGGUUCAACCCGCGUGACUCAUUUUCGCUUUCAGCUUGUGCGUUUUAACUCCGGCUCGCUUUUGUCUGCGCAACGACAAGCAUAACAGGCCGCACCAAAAACCCAUUCGCCAAAAUGAAACGAGAAAAACGGGCUGAAGCAUGCGCCAGCGAUACGGAAAACAGAGACAUGUAAAGACGUGCGGGGCUGCGUUAGCUAACCAGCUGCAGCU
ensembl:lncRNA